UGCAAGGGCACUCUGUGUUAAUAAUAAUACAUAUUUUAAUUACAAUUUGUUACCUUGCUACAUCAAAUCUACUAAACCCUAUUCCGAGCAACUAAGACAUGGGUGCUUGGUCAUAUUAGAAGAUACAGU